rnacentral:rRNA from 1 species
GGGUGUUGGAAAGAUUUAUCGGUUUUGGAUGGACUCGCGGCCUAUCAGCUUGUUGGUGAGGUAAUGGCUCACCAAGGCGACGACGGGUAGCCGGCCUGAGAGGGUGACCGGCCACACUGGGACUGAGACACGGCCCAGACUCCUACGGGAGGCAGCAGUGGGGAAUAUUGCACAAUGGGCGAAAGCCUGAUGCAGCGACGCCGCGUGAGGGAUGACGGCCUUCGGGUUGUAAACCUCUUUCAGUAGGGAAGAAGCGAAAGUGACGGUACCUACAGAAGAAGCACCGGCUAACUACGUGCCAGCAGCCGCGGUAAUACGUAGGGUGCGAGCGUUAUCCGGAAUUAUUGGGCGUAAAGAGCUCGUAGGCGGUUUGUCGCGUCUGUCGUGAAAGUCCGGGGCUUAACCCCGGAUCUGCGGUGGGUACGGGCAGACUAGAGUGCAGUAGGGGAGACUGGAAUUCCUGGUGUAGCGGUGGAAUGCGCAGAUAUCAGGAGGAACACCGAUGGCGAAGGCAGGUCUCUGGGCUGUAACUGACGCUGAGGAGCGAAAGCAUGGGGAGCGAACAGGAUUAGAUACCCUGGUAGUCCAUGCCGUAAACGUUGGGCACUAGGUGUGGGGACCAUUCCACGGUUUCCGCGCCGCAGCUAACGCAUUAAGUGCCCCGCCUGGGGAGUACGGCCGCAAGGCUAAAACUCAAAGGAAUUGACGGGGGCCCGCACAAGCGGCGGAGCAUGCGGAUUAAUUCGAUGCAACGCGAAGAACCUUACCAAGGCUUGACAUGUUCUCGAUCGCCGUAGAGAUACGGUUUCCCCUUUGGGGCGGGUUCACAGGUGGUGCAUGGUUGUCGUCAGCUCGUGUCGUGAGAUGUUGGGUUAAGUCCCGCAACGAGCGCAACCCUCGUUCCAUGUUGCCAGCACGUAAUGGUGGGGACUCAUGGGAGACUGCCGGGGUCAACUCGGAGGAAGGUGAGGACGACGUCAAAUCAUCAUGCCCCUUAUGUCUUGGGCUUCACGCAUGCUACAAUGGCCGGUACAAUGGGUUGCGAUACUG